AUGCGGCUCUGGCGGGGAGCGGGGCUGGCGGCACUGGCCGCAGUUCUGCUCGUGGCGGCAGGCAGAGCCCAAGUGAAGCAGGACCCGCUGUUAGAGACGACCGAGGGCAGUGAAAUCACCCUCAAGUGCUCAAACGCUAACAUAGGAAUCGGUGAUUUUAUCCAUUUCUACCGGCAGCUCCCGAGCCACAACACCGAACUCCCGGUACGCGCUUCUGAAGUGUCCAGAGAGCGGCGGGCUUCAGCGUGGCGGCUGACGGUGUCGGGAGAUCGUCGUUGGAUCGUCCUCUGGCUCUCCGGGCCCCGUCAUGGGGAGGCGGCGCUCUACCCCUGCGCCCUGGCGAUCACGGACUCAUUGACACCUUCGUCCUCGCAGGUUUUAGAGGUUUCCUGA